GGCCCAUCAAAAGCGCCAGCGCCUGCCGGAAACCGGCAGGAUGACGAGGAGAAGGGAACAAACGGGGGAACCACCCCUGUGAUCGAAUGUUCGGCGGAUGCCCUUCCGUACAUGCAGGUGCGAACAUGGCCCACAAAUAUGCGGAUAACCGCAAAACAGAACGGCCAUGACUGCGAAAA
rnacentral:ncRNA from 2 species